UAGCGAGGGGGGCGAGCGUUGUUCGGAAUUACUGGGCGUAAAGCGUGCGCAGGCGGUUUUGUAAGUCUCGUCGUGAAAAUCCCCGGGCUCAACCUGGGAAUUGCGAUGGAGACUGCAAGGCUAGAAUCGUGGCAGAGGGGGGGUAGAAUUCCACGUGAUAGCAGUGAAAUGCGUAGAGAUGUGGAGGAACACCGAUGGCGAAGGCAGCCCCC
rnacentral:rRNA from 1 species